CCUGGCGCAGGGCCCUGACCCCGCCCCGGGCAGCCGCACCCCGGGACGCUCUCGGGGAGCAGGGGCGGCGGCGGGCCACCGAGGGCCAUGGCGGCGGUGUCACCGGUGUGCGGCUCACAGGCGUCCCCGGCCGGCGCCUCGUCCCCACCCGCGGCCGCCCCGGCUCCGGCGGCCGGCCUGGGCCGCUGCCGCAUGGCGCUGCUGCUGGCGGUGGCCCUGGACGUGGCGGGCAUGGCGGCGCUGCUGACCGGCGUGUUCGCGCAGCUGCAGGUGCGCGGCCGCGACUUCGGGGACCUGCUCAUCUACUCCGGGGCGCUGCUGGUCUUCUUGAGCCUGCUGGGCUGGAUCCUCUGGUACACGGGCAACAUCGAGAUCUCGCGCCAGGAGCUCGAGCGUGACUACGGCCUGCGGCCCUCGGCGAUCGCCCGCCUCGCUCGCAAGCUGUCCCGCCGCUGGUCGGCGCCCGCCACCGCCAACCCCCGGGCGACCCCGGGUCUCCGCGCAGCGCGCCGAGCGGCCCGCGCGCCCCAGACGGCGGCCUCCGGCUCCCGCCGCGUGCGCCUGCAGCUCGCCACGCUCGAGGCGGGGCCCGGAGCGGCGGGCGCGGGCGGCGAGUGAGCCCCCAGACUGGCCUUGAAGAUCCUCUUUCCCAGCCUUCCAGGUGUUGGGAUUCCCCCAGCUGUUUCUCCGUCUUUGCCUGCUUUCUCCAUCUCUGUUCAUCCCCCUGUCUCUGUGCCUCUCUGCUGUUUCCUGCCACAGACUCACCAGUGUCCGUGGAUUCUGACCACCUCACCCCUCUGGACCUGACGGAGAUGCGCAGCUGCCCUGUCCAUCACCCGGCCACCAGGAUACCCACCUGUUCCCUCACUUGGAUAAAUGUCUCAGUUUUGGAGCACUG